rnacentral:tRNA from 7 species
GCGGGAGUGGCUCAGUGGUAGAGCGCUUCCUUGCCAAGGAAGAUGUCGCGGGUUCGAAUCCCGUCUCCCGCUCCA